GAUGAACGCUGGCGGCGUGCCUAACACAUGCAAGUCGAACGGAGAUUACGGACGGAAGUUUUCGGAUGGAAGCCUGUAAUUCUUAGUGGCGGACGGGUGAGUAACGCGUGGGCAACCUGCCCUAUACAGGGGGAUAGCAGCUGGAAACGGCUGGUAAGACCGCAUAAGUCGGUUAAAUCGCAUGAUUUGAUCGGGAAAUGAGCAAUCAGGUAUAGGAUGGGCCCGCGUCCGAUUAGCCAGUUGGCAGGGUAAAAGCCUACCAAAGCGACGAUCGGUAGCCGGACUGAGAGGUCGGACGGCCACAUUGGGACUGAGACACGGCCCAAACUCCUACGGGAGGCAGCAGUGGGGGAUAUUGCACAAUGGAGGAAACUCUGAUGCAGCGACGCCGCGUGAGUGAAGAAGUACUUCGGUAUGUAAAGCUCUAUCAGCAGGGAAGAUGAUGACGGUACCUGACGAAGAAGCCCCGGCUAACUACGUG
rnacentral:rRNA from 1 species